UUCCUUUGUAGGCUUUUGGGGUUUUC
rnacentral:piRNA from 1 species